CGAUGAACCGCUUUCGGGCGGGGAUUAUGGCGAACGGGUGAGUAACACGUGGGCAAUCUGCCCUGCACUCUGGGACAAGCCCUGGAAACGGGGUCUAAUACCGGAUAUGACUGUCCAUCGCAUGGUGGAUGGUGUAAAGCUCCGGCGGUGCAGGAUGAGCCCGCGGCCUAUCAGCUUGUUGGUGAGGUAGUGGCUCACCAAGGCGACGACGGGUAGCCGGCCUGAGAGGGCGACCGGCCACACUGGGACUGAGACACGGCCCAGACUCCUACGGGAGGCAGCAGUGGGGAAUAUUGCACAAUGGGCGAAAGCCUGAUGCAGCGACGCCGCGUGAGGGAUGACGGCCUUCGGGUUGUAAACCUCUUUCAGCAGGGAAGAAGCGAAAGUGACGGUACCUGCAGAAGAAGCGCCGGCUAACUACGUGCCAGCAGCCGCGGUAAUACGUAGGGCGCAAGCGUUGUCCGGAAUUAUUGGGCGUAAAGAGCUCGUAGGCGGCUUGUCACGUCGGUUGUGAAAGCCCGGGGCUUAACCCCGGGUCUGCAGUCGAUACGGGCAGGCUAGAGUUCGGUAGGGGAGAUCGGAAUUCCUGGUGUAGCGGUGAAAUGCGCAGAUAUCAGGAGGAACACCGGUGGCGAAGGCGGAUCUCUGGGCCGAUACUGACGCUGAGGAGCGAAAGCGUGGGGAGCGAACAGGAUUAGAUACCCUGGUAGUCCACGCCGUAAACGGUGGGCACUAGUGUGGGCAACAUUCCACGUUGUCCGUGCCGCAGCUAACGCAUUAAGUGCCCCGCCUGGGG
rnacentral:rRNA from 1 species